CCAAUUACCCGAGGAGGACACUCUUGGUGCACCCCCUUGUGGGCUGUGUGAACAGUCUUGUUGUAGUUAAGCCUUAAUUGUUGUAGGUAUCACUGGGAGGAAUUGACCUCCAGGCCAAUUGGCUGUGAGAAUCAGCUGUGUCUAUGGUGGGAGAACUUCUGUGCUGGAGACACCCUUCUGGGGCAAGACCUGCUUCAGUGGGGCUUUGGUGCUCACUGAGUCUGCCUCCUGAGUGGAUCUGAGGAGUUGUAAUCUGGAUGGUCCCACUCUGACCACUGGGUACACUGGCUCUUGAAUCUCUAAGGAGGUGCAAAUUUAGCCUCUGCCUGAGGCUACCCAGCAGGAGGUAUGGAGAAAUCUGCAGAUUCCUCUUCCUUGUUUGGGGUUUGGAGAUGCCCAGAUGAGGCCCAGCUGUGAAGCAAUGCAAGCUGCUGUGGGGCCUUGGGCCUUCUUUUGGAAGUUCUGGGUCUCUCUGGCCCAGCUGCAGUUUGUUAGGUAAUUUUAGAUUGCAAAGGGCCAAGGCAUUCCUAUGCAAAAGCCUCUACCCCAGCUUGGGUGGGGUGGGGUGGGGUCUCAGGGGAUCAACAGGGCGGAGCAUACAGCUAUGGCUGAUCCUCAGUCCUACCCUAAGAGGUCCCAGGUCUCAGUGUCCCGGUAAUCGCUGCAAGCACCUCUGAGAGAAGCUGCCCUUGAGUUCCACCUGAUGCCAGACAGUCCAGUUUCUCCCCGUAUGAGUCUGGGUCUCCAGAGACUCACCGGGAACUGGAGUUCAGAGUAGUCGGGAGCUCGUGUCUCCCUCCCAAUUGAAAAAGAAAACUGCAUCCUCAAGUUGCCACCCCUUUCCAUGUGCACCUCCGUACCUCUGCACUUUACGUCUGCACCUCCUCUGAGUCUCAAUGUGCUUUUCUCUUUCCUUCUAGUUGUAGAAUUUCCACUCAGCCAGCCUUCCUGUGGUUCUGGGUGAUGUCCGUUUUGUCUUUUAGUUGUAUUUUUGAAGUGGUUGUGCGAGGCAGCAAUUUCAGGUGUUUACCUAUGCCACCAUCUUGGUUUCUCUAGCACUAAAUUUAUUAAAUAAAUUUAAGGAAAUGUAAGUUUUCUUAGAACAUUGAGUGUUCUUAAAGUACUUCAUGUUUUCAUUUUUAAAGAAUUUUACUUAGUAUGUACAGUCACAUCUUCAUGCUAAGUGUGUCUAAAAUAUUGAAGACUUUAAACCAGCGGUCGCCAGCCGCUGGUCCAUGAGGUCCGAAAGGUUGGCCACUGCUGCUGUAGACAGCACCUCCAUUGAAACUAGAUCCUUCCCUGUCACCAGAUGCCCAGGACACCAUGUUGCCAGGUGAGUGCAGGACUUUAUACUUUCACAGGGAGUAUCCAGCUGUUUAUUUGUGGCAGGUGUAGCUGGAUCUUAAUUUUUCCUAUGGGGGUUUUCAGGGUCAUUGAUUGGCCCAACGGACUGAUUUUAAGAGCUUUACUUUCACUUGGAGAACAUUUAACAAGGUUUUAUUUGGGGUGGGAGGGAUGAAUUUUGGGAAGAUUAGUGGGUCUAUAAUUUAGAGACAGAGACAAAACACUGUCUUUUAAGGCAAAUUAAUCAAGGAAAUUGGCAUCCCCUUCAGAAAACAUUUCAUUGGCUUCUUAGAAAGAGAAUUUUCCUGCUAGAGAACCUAAGCAAAUGAAAUAUUCUCCAGACCUUAAUUUAUGUUCAUUGCCUCUUUUUUCAGUAUAAGAGCGCUGCUUACCGACCACCUAAUGUCAAUUAAGUAGGCAGAAUUAAAUUAUUUUAGGCUUGUUCAUAUUUGUUUUAAGUGUAAAAAAUAGAUUCUGGCCAUUCAGAGAAGUCAGAUGAACAUUUUAGCUCCACCAGGUGAAGUCUUUACGCCAAGAGAAAACGACUGAGCAGAGGCUGAGCAGCUAGUGCCAGUGUGGAAGAACUAGGCACUGGGGUCUCAGUUGAAUUUAUAGAGUUGUGUGUACCUUAAAAAAAUAGUAUGUAACUUGUGGGAUUUUAAAGCCAGAGAAUGUGAUAAUGGCAGUAAUCGACAGUGAACUGCAUGACUCCUUGCUGUGUUGGCUAACCAGAAUGUCAUGCUUGCUACUAAAACCCCUUACUUAUGAUAAAUUUAUUUGCUGGAACAUUAUGACCAUCACCAUUUCGCCCUGAAUAUUCUGACUGAAACAAAUUUGCAUUUUUGCAGUUUGAUACAGUAGGUCUUUGUUCUUAGGUUUCUGGUGUUGAGAUAGUAUUACUUUGGAAUGGCAGCUCUUGCUUUCAUGAAAAAGCAGCUAUUCUAGUUACAAGUUUUGUUACUGUUCUAUUAAGAUUUGCAGCCAAUGGGGGAGUUCUUUGAAAUAUAGACACUGAAAGUUUUGGACUUGCUUUAGUAUGAGAAACCAUAUCUUUUUUGUGGCCUAGACCCGUGGUCAGCAAACUGCGGCUCUUUGGCCCCUUGAGUGUGGCUCUUCCUAAGCCUUAGGAGUACCCUAAUUAAGUUAAUAACAAUGUACCUACCUAUAUAGUUUAAGUUUAAAAAUUUGGCUCUCAAAAGAAAUUACAAUCGUUGUACUGUUGAUAUUUGGCUCUGUUGACUAAUGAGUUUGCCUACCACUGGCCUAGACUCUAGUUGUCAAACUAUGGCUCAACACUUGUAUUUUUAAAUGGUCGUUAAUGUGUCUACAUAAUCAUUGUAUUUUGCCUCCUGGCCUUUAAAGCUGAAAUAGUUUGCUGACUCCUAUUCUAAAGGAAUACAAUAAAUAUUGACAGUAUUUGAUUUAAUGUCUGAAGAGUUGGCUGUGAGGUCAGAGCUAGGUUACUUACAUUAAUUGUUUCACUUCUGGCUUCCUCAAGUUAACCAUUAUUCCCUUAAUAGUAGAUCUGAUCAGAAUGUUUUGUAGAAAAUAGUAGAUGUAUCAUCAACCUGGAGCAUUUUCUAGGGCAUUUUUCUAUAUUUAAAAAUUAAUGUGGGAUACUUGUGUCUGUUAUGAGUUAUCUAUUGCUGUGUAACAAAUCCCCAAAAUAGCCAUUAAAACACCUUUUUUUCUUUCAGUUUUAUUGAGACACAAUUGACAAUCAGCAUGGUAUACGUUUAAGGUGUACAGCAUAAUGACUGACUUACAUAUAUUGUGAAAUGGUUACCACAGUAGGUGUAGUUUAAUACAUCAUUUCAUUUAGUUACAGAAAAAACAAGUUUUAGUUUUCCUUGUGAUGAGAAUGUUUAGGACUUACUCUCUUAGUAGCCUUCCAAGGUACCGUUCAACAGUGUGAACUAUUGCCAUCAUGCUUUACAUAACAUCUCCAGUAAUUACUUAGUCUUACAUCUAGAAGUUUGUACCUUUUGACCACCUUUAUCCAAUUUUCACCCCUUUUUUAAGAGUUAGGAUUUUACAAAUGGUUUGGGCCCAGGCUCCCCAGUGAAGUUUUAGCAAGAUGUUGGAAUGGGCUGCAGUCCUCUGAAGGCUUGACUGGGGUUGGAGGAUCCGCUUUUCAAGACGACUUGCAGGACUUUGCCGAGACCUCUAGUUGCUUGCUGGCUGCUGGCAGGCAAGGCAGGCGUCCUUAGUUGCUCACCACCUGAACCUUUUCUGAAGGCUUUCCAAGUGUCCUCAGGACAGGACUGCUGGCUUUCCCCAGGGGUCCAAGAAGCGCCAGGAGAGAGCCUCAUUCCUUUAUACUUAAGCUCAGAAAUCACUUAAAUCAUAUUCUGUUCGUUAGGUGUAUGUCAUGAAGGGCGGCUCAAAGCCAAGAAGAAAAUUAGGCUCCCUAGUUUUGGGGUGUUUUGUGUUUGUGAAGUGAGAAGUAUCAAAGAAUUUGGACAGAUUUUAAAACCAGCACGAUCUGUUUUAUUGGUGAUAGUGGUAGAAAUCGGGGGUAGUAUGUUCUUUGGGAGGUGUGAAUGGGAUCCGUUCUUGUGUGAAUGAAUGUAUUACAUUAAGUGUUGGCAGCCUUUCUAGGUAAGUGACAGCGAAGGUGUAGAGCAGGGGUCCUCAAACUUUUUAAACAGGGGGCCAGUUCACUGUCCCUCAGACCGUUGGAGGGCCGGACUAUAGUUUAAAAAAAAAAAACUAUGAACAAAUUCCUAUGCACACUGCACAUAUCUUA